ACAGCUCUAGCUGGUCAGCAGAACCCACGCCAGCCUCACUCAGAUGUAUUUAAGAACAGUAGCUGCUGGGUGUGGUGGACACAUGGAUUGUGACACUGCUGAGGAGGAGCUAGCUGAAGGUGCACUCCUGGAAGGAGGCACUUGAUGUCAAAUAAGUCCUCAGGAACAUCUCCUUAUCACCAACAUCUGCCAAAGUUAUGAAAAGCCUCACAGUGACCCCUUCCAGCGCCCUCAGCAUUAAUGAGCACAUCCCACUGGGUUCCAUGGAGUUGGAUUUACCCAAUUUGUUUAUUUGUUCUCUGUCUCAAUCCUCAUCCUCCAAGGGGAGUAUUCCUUGCUGUAGACUUUUCUACAGAUCUCACGGGCUUGGAUUACUGAAAACUAUUCAUACAAGGCAAAGAAGAUCUUGAAUACCUUGUCCUUUUCUGUAUCCUUUGUCACAAAGACACGACAUUUUCCCAAGCCUUUUCUUAUUGUUUUUCACGUUUCUCAUCAGAUUCAGCUCCACGUCAGCUUCAGCUUUCCUAACUCCAUGCUUGCACAAUCAAGCAAUAUCUUCAUAUACUAUUCUUUCCAGUUCUCCUGCUUCUGCCUCUUGUAUGCACACUUUUUUUGCUGGAGUUCUGUGAAGGACUACUUGUUCACUUAUUGAUUGGCUGCUUCUCAGGUUGAACAGUUCUUGAGUGGAUGAAGAAAACAGCUACAGAGAAACAGGUAGAAGCUGUUGUAUGCACAGUCCAACUUCCUAAGACAUCCUUUGCCUCAUGGUAGGCGCAGAGUGAGCUCAGUUCAUCUCCCAGCAAGAAUAAAGGAAAUUGAGACUAGGAAGGAGACAAGAUAGGUGUGAGCCUGAGGAAGGAGUAGAAAGGAUGUCUACUGAUGUGUUAUUCUUUAUUCUUUCUCCAUUUGUUUUUUAUGUUUGUCUGUUUGUUUUCUACAAUACCUAGAUUAGUGAUCAUAAAUUUCUUUUAAUUGGUGAUAAAUUAAAAUAAGUAGAAAUUCUCCUGCUUUUGCCUAAGGUGAUAACAAGCUUUAUAGUAAAACCUUAAUUUCACUGUACUGUGGAUACCUUUUGGCUUAUUCUGCUUUGACAGUGUAAGAGGCCUUAAAAUUUUGUAAACUACAGGUAAAUUCACAGUAAGACUUUGUACUAUCUGAGUACUCUAAAGAGAACUCUGGCAUGUAGAAGGGGAAUACCAGCUGAGCUAUCGAGCCUUCAUGAAGCUUUGAAUAUAUUAAUACAGUGCUGAAUCAAAGUUGAUUACUUAGCAACAAAUAUGUGGGGUUGAGUUUAGUGCUGAGCUUCUGGAACUGUUCAGCUUCCAAGCUAUAUCUGGCUUAUGUCUGUUAUGCAGUCCUGGAACAAAAACACAAAUGACUGCACCCACCUCUGUAGUGUUUGUGACUGGGUAUGACUCUGUCCUCAUUUGAGCAUGAACUGCUGCAUGUUCACUGUGGAGAAAUAAAAUCAUGCUCUCA